AGGCCGAGGCAGGCGGAUCACCUGAGGUCGGGAGUUCAAAACCAGCCUGACCAACAUGGAGAAACCCCAUCUCUACUAAAAAUACAAAAUUAGCCGGGCAUGGUGGCGCAUGCCUGUAAUCCCAGCUACUUGGGAUGCUGAGGCAGGAGAAUUGCUUGAACCCGAAAGGUGAAGGUUGUAGUGAGCCGAGAUUGCGCCAUUGCAUUCCAGGCUGGGCAGCAGCUUAGAAUAGUAUCUGACAUGCAGAAAGUACUGAAUAAGGAUUAGCUCUCAUUAUUACUUCAGAGACACUUAGGUCAUUCUGGGAAGAAAAGGCAGUAUCCAUCCUAUGGGCAGCCACUGAGGGUUUUAAGUGAGAAUUAUGUAACUGAAUCCACAGUCCAUGGAACUGACUCUGGAAGAACCACUUAGGGUUAAUAUGGAUCUGACUACUUCCCUUAGGAUUCAUUGAUUUACUUUGAGACUGUACAUUUCAGAAAGGAUUUAGUGUAGCUUGAAAAAAAAGGUAGAUAUACUAAGUGAGAAGCCACUAAAAUAAGAACUCAAAAGAUGUGAUAGAGAGAAUUUAAGGGCAGAGAAGUAAAAUAGGGCAAGAGGGAAGGUUCACACAAUUCAUGCCCUAACAUAAAAUACUCAUUUGUUAGAGGUAAGGCAAAAGUUUGCUGUAGUCUUUCUGAUGGUCGAAAUAACCAUUUAUAAAAACAAAAACGCAUCCAUGGAAUAAAAUCAAGACCAGCGCUCAGUGGAAGCAGCAACA
rnacentral:lncRNA from 1 species